AGUCAGCAUAGCACUGAAACUUCAAGCAAAACUUUGGCAUGUAAAAUCUCCAAAAUGCGGCUUUGGGAAAAGUCUUUUCUCAGAUUUUCUUCAAAGAUGUUUCUGUUUAAGAGCUGAGGCACUGUGUAACAACUGGGACAAAGAUAUAAAAGAGUUAUUCCUGCCUACACUCUUGCACUGCCAAAAACCAUGAUGUCGAGUGACGGAAUGUCGUAAUUUCAAAAGGCCGGCAAGUCAGGUAACAUUUAAAAAAUUUGGCCUAGGCAUCAAAGGUGCUUGCUAAACGCAAGCACAUCACACAACAAGCACGAAAAAUUGCUGUUGCAUACCUUACAU